UACGUAGGGGGCUAGCGUUGUCCGGAUUUAUUGGGCGUAAAGAGCGUGUAGGCGGCCAGGUAGGUCUGCCGUGAAAACUCGAGGCUCAACCUCGAGACGUCGGCGGAAACCAUCUGGCUAGAGUCCGGAAGAGGAGAGUGGAAUUCCCGGUGUAGCGGUGAAAUGCGCAGAUAUCGGGAAGAACACCCGUGGCGAAGGCGGUUCUCUGGGACGGUACUGACGCUGAGACGCGAAAGCGUGGGGAGCGAACAGG
rnacentral:rRNA from 1 species